rnacentral:rRNA from 1 species
GACAGAGGCCUCGAGCGUUAGGCGGAAUCACUGGGCUUAAAGCGUGUGUAGGCGGAAGAGUAAGUACCUUGUGAAAUCCCACGGCUCACCCGUGGAACCGCUGGGUAUACUGCUCUUCUUGGGCCGCUCAGGGGCGACUGGAACAAGCGGUGGAGCGGUGAAAUGCGUAGAUAUCGCUUGGAACGCCGAAGGUGAAAACAGGUCGCUGGGAGUGCGCCGACGCUGAGACACGAAAGCCAGGGGAGCAAACGGG